UCUUAUUCUGGAGCUGAUUCUAACUCUAGCCUGGUGCCAGAAGGGGGGCAAGAACCGACACUGAAGAUGGCUUUAGCUCUAGAGCUGGCCCGAGUGUUGGAGCUGGAGGUGGCUCUAGCUCUGUGGCUGGCACAAGACUUAUGCUAGAGCAGGCUCUAGCUUUGUAGCCUCCACUGCUGGCUGUGCCAAGACUUCUUUGUGUCGCAGGAUUCUUUAGAGCACCCCCCGAAGGGCUGUUGGGAGGAUUACACUGUGGUUCCAUAAUGAAGUUGGCCUUGAUUCUUUAAGGCAAGCAAAGAAGAGCUCUCUGCAGUUUGUCUCUCUUCACGUGACCUGGAGGCCCAGGGUUAGAGUUCACUGCAGGACCUGGGCUAUGUGUCCCCACAGGAGGACUGGCCAAUAUCUCUCUUCUGGUCAGUGGUUGAGCUGGGCCAGGAGCUCCGGCCUGGCCCAUAGUGAACAUGAUGACCCAGGUGUUGGGGACAUGCUGGUAAAGCAAUCUCCCAAGGUGCUGGUAAAAUCCAGCUGGGUGCCUCAGGCACAGAGCAGUAAGUGCUAGCCCUGGUAGCCAUUGGGUUUAGCCAGAGAUCUUUCCAGAGUGAUACAUAAAAGGCUCCCUCCUUUCAC
rnacentral:lncRNA from 1 species